ensembl:miRNA Mir7054 microRNA 7054
GGAACUAGGAAGGUUGUCGGGGUGAGUACUCACAGAACAGAGCCCAACUUGGCCCCUUCCAG